rnacentral:misc_RNA from 1 species
GAUGAAGAACGUAGCGAAAUGCGAUAAGUAAUGCGAAUUGCAGAAUUCAGUGAGUCAUCGAAUCUUUGAACGCAUAUUGCGACCUUUGGUAUUCCGAAGGGCAUGCCUGUUCGAGCGUCAUUAUCACAGUAUCAAGCUUGGCUUGUUGUUGGGCCCUUUGUCACGGGGUGACAGGUCCAAAAGACAAUAACCGGUGUCAUACAGACUCUAUAUGCAACGAGCUUAUCACAGCACGCAUCUGGUAGUCGUGUGGCCUGGUUCUCACCCCUUUACUUCUCAAGGUUGACCUCGGAUCAGGUAGGAAUACCCGCUGAACUUAAGCAUAUCAAUAAGCGGAGGA